rnacentral:rRNA from 1 species
UGGGAACGUACCCUUCGGUUCGGAAUAACUCAGGGAAACUCGAGCUAAUACCGGAUACGCCCUUACGGGGAAAGGUUUACUGCCGAAGGAUCGGCCCGAGUCUGAUUAGCUAGUUGAUGAGGUAACGGCUCACCAAGGCGACGAUCAGUAGCUGGUCUGAGAGGAUGAUCAGCCACACUGGGACUGAGACACGGCCCAGACUCCUACGGGAGGCAG